AGCAGCCGCGGUAAUUCCAGCUCCAAUAGCGUAUAUUAAAGUUGUUGCAGUUAAAAAGCUCGUAGUUGAAUUUCGGGGUCAGUAGGUCGGUCGUGCCACUGGUAUGCACUGGUCUCACUGAUUUCCUCCUUCUUGUAGAACCGUAAUGCCAUUAAGUUGGUGUUGCGGGGAAACAGGACUGUUACUUUGAAAAAAUUAGAGUGUUUAAAGCAAGCUAACGCUUGAAUACAUUAGCAUGGAAUAAUGAAAUAGGACGAACGAUCCUAUUUUGUUGGUUUCUAGGAUUGACGUAAUGAUUAAUAGGGAUAGUUGGGGGCAUUAGUAUUCAAUUGUCAGAGGUGAAAUUCUUGGAUUUAUUGAAGACUAACUACUGCGAAAGCAUUUGCCAAGGAUGUUUUCAUUAAUCAAGAACGAAAGUUAGGGGAUCGAAGACGAUCAGAUACCGUCGUAGUCUUAACCAUAAACUAUGCCGACUAGGGAUCGGAUGAUGUUAAUUUUAUAAUGACUCAUUCGGCGCCUU
rnacentral:rRNA from 1 species